rnacentral:rRNA from 1 species
GCAAGUCGAACGAGAACGCCCUUCGGGGUUAUUAGAGUGGCGCACGGGUGAGUAACACGUAGGUAACCUACCCUCGAGCGGGGGAUAACGUUCCGAAAGGAACGCUAAUACCGCAUAAGACCACGCUGUCUGCGGACAGAGUGGGAAAAGACGGCCUCUUCUUGAAAGCUGUCACUUGAGGAUGGGCCUGCGUCCCAUCAGCUUGUUGGUGGGGUAACGGCCUACCAAGGCUAAGACGGUUAGCUGGUCUGAGAGGAUGACC